UUCUUACCUGUUCUGUGUUAAAUUUAUAUAUGUGUGUGUAUAUAUAUAUAUAUAUAUAUAUAUACAUAUAUAUAUACACAUACACACACACAUAUAUAUAAAUUUAACACAGAACAGGUAAGAA